CGCACCCGCAGCCCCACACCGACUUGAAAACGGAAAGAGAAAAAGGUACCUACUCUUCCUCGUAGUGCAGGGAAAAAGAUUCAGGAAGGCAAAGUUCUACCGAAUCCAUGUGCGACCGGCAACCAUUAUUUGUGCACCCCAGCUAUAAAUCAAAGUUUCCUUGACAGAGCACGGUGCAAUUAACACAAAUGUUCUGCUAAGGACGAGCCUAUAGGCACGGCCAGUGGGGACCACAGCGCUCACACGCUCCUAAUCAAGGACUUAAAGCCCCGAUUGGAGCUUAUUAAUAUGAAGUAGGGCUUUACAUAUGCAGUCCCACCGGCCCAGCCGCGCCGCCGAUUGGGGGGCCUCUGCCCAAUCAGGAGGGAGGCGACGCGAGGCUGCUCGAGCCCGGGGAGCCGCAGCCCUGUCCCCACAUGGGAAGACUGGUCAACAUCGGCUAUGAAAAGAGAAUACUGUCUAAACUG
rnacentral:lncRNA from 1 species